rnacentral:rRNA from 1 species
UACGAAGGGGGCUAGCGUUGUUCGGAUUUACUGGGCGUAAAGCGCACGUAGGCGGAUCGAUCAGUCAGGGGUGAAAUCCCAGGGCUCAACCCUGGAACUGCCUUUGAUACUGUCGAUCUGGAGUAUGGAAGAGGUGAGUGGAAUUCCGAGUGUAGAGGUGAAAUUCGUAGAUAUUCGGAGGAACACCAGUGGCGAAGGCGGCUCACUGGUCCAUUACUGACGCUGAGGUGCGAAAGCGUGGGGAGCAAACGGG